GAUGAACGCUGGCGGCGUGCCUAAUACAUGCAAGUCGAGCGAACAGACGAGGAUCUUGCUCCUCUGACGUUAGCGGCGGACGGGUGAGUAACACGUGGAUAACCUACCUAUAAGAAUGGGAUAACUUCGGGAAACCGGAGCUAAUACCGGAUAAUAUAUUGAACCGCAUGGUUCCAUAGUGAAAGACGGUUUUGCUGUGACUUAUAGAUGGAUCCGCGCCGCAUUAGCUAGUUGGUAAGGUAACGGCUUACCAAGGCAACGAUGCGUAGCCGACCUGAGAGGGUGAUCGGCCACACUGGAACUGAGACACGGUCCAGACUCCUACGGGAGGCAGCAGUAGGGAAUCUUCCGCAAUGGGCGAAAGCCUGACGGAGCAACGCCGCGUGAGUGAUGAAGGUCUUCGGAUCGUAAAACUCUGUUAUUAGGGAAGAACAAAUGUGUAAGUAACUAUGCACGUCUUGACGGUACCUAAUCAGAAAGCCACGGCUAACUACGUG
rnacentral:rRNA from 1 species